CCUACGGGGGGCAGCAGUGAGGAAUAUUGGUCAAUGGACGAGAGUCUGAACCAGCCAAGUAGCGUGAAGGAUGACUGCCCUAUGGGUUGUAAACUUCUUUUAUAUGGGAAUAAAAUGUUCCACGUGUGGGAUUUUGUAUGUACCAUAUGAAUAAGGAUCGGCUAACUCCGUGCCAGCAGCCGCGGUAAUACGGAGGAUCCGAGCGUUAUCCGGAUUGAUUGGGUUUAAAGGGAGCGUAGGUGGAUUGUUAAGUCAGUUGUGAAAGUUUGCGGCUCAACCGUAAAAUUGCAGUUGAAACUGGCAGUCUUGAGUACAGUAGAGGUGGGCGGAAUUCGUGGUGUAGCGGUGAAAUGCUGAGAUAUCACGAAGAACUCCGAUUGCGAAGGCAGCUCACUGGACUGCAACUGACACUGAGGCUCGAAAGUGUGGGUAUCAAACAGGAUUAGAUACCCCAGUAGUC
rnacentral:rRNA from 1 species